rnacentral:lncRNA from 1 species
UACUUCACUCCUUCACUACUUCACUCCUUAUAGCUCUCAUCUCAUUAGUUAUUAUAUGAAGAAUGCUCUACCUCUAAACCCUAGCUUCUGCAAGAAAUCCCUUCUAAUUGUAAGUUCAAUUUCUCACAAUACUUCAUCUUUUGUAUAAUUAUACAUAGUAAAUUCAUGUGGAAUCGUGCUAGAAGUUGCAAUUAUGAUGUAUACGAAAAAAAAUUGUACUUUUUUUGGUGGUUUUGAUUUCCAGUUUCCCCAUUGAGUGGAGUUCUGGAAAUUAAAUUGUGGUGUAAUUUCAGCUUCGAACAGUCAAUUAGUGAUAAACUCAAAAGGUUAUCUCGUAGAUUUUUAAAUAGGCUAUGCCUAUAUUCAAAACCAUCUCAAUUUUCGAUUAGGAUACAUAUAUUAUGUAUGUGCAGCCACAGUACUAGUAUAUUUACAUAAUUCCAUUGUUAUUUUAUUUUUUAAUAUCAUUUGUUGUUGUUGUUGUUGUUGUUGUUGUUGUUGUUGUUAUUUCUAUGGUCUAUUUUUAAUUGGGCCGAUGGUUCGGUUUUUGCAUAAGAUUAUUUGUUCAUAAAAUGCAUAAAUAAAGAAUCUUGAAUCAGAGUGGUGCAAUUUUUUAAUUUAUUAUGCUAGUAUUGUCAUGGUGGAGUUGCGAUUUUUCUGGUUAUACGAGUUUCUAGUUUCUACUAUAUAUGAAAUUGCUGACAAGUAUAUGAAAUCAUGUGUUGUCAUUAUUGCAUAGAGAAAAUCAUACACAUUCCCUUAUAUUAUUUGGAAAAUCUUGUUCACUAGUACUAAAUUAACCAACCGUAAUUGCUUGAGUUUGCAUCAUAGACAUAUCCGUCUUGUCCGACCUUUCUUAUUAUAGUUUAUACAACUUUUAAGUUAUAUAUAAUUAGUCAUGACUUUCUCUUUCUCUCCCCCUCUCUUUCACAGACAUACACAGAGAACGUACACAGGCACACACAUAACUUGCAUCAGAUCAGUUCCUCGUACUCUCUUUCUCAAACACACAGACACACACCUGACACAACGGUACACAAUUUAAUAAAAUCCCCUCCAUAUACACCAUUAUGGGAAUUUGCCUGGGAAUUUCUCAUAUGCAUCAAUAUGGUGCGUAUGGAAAGUUCUUGUAGGCACCAUUAUGAUGAUUACAUAAUUUGUUAAAAUUCUCCCUACGCACUAUAAUGAUGCGUACGGUGGGGAUUUUUAUAAAAUUCUCCCUAUGCACCAUUAUAUUGAAUGUUACAAGAUGUCUUGUCUAUUACAAACUCCAUAGCCACUUUUGGCUAUGGAUCAAUCUUCACAAUUAUAACGUACAUAUGUGUAUAUAUUAUAAAAACUCACUCUUGACAUUUCUUUCGAUUUUUUUCCACAUGUAUUAAGGGAACCCCUCGCAUGUAACCUGUAAUGUGCAAUAAUGUCAGUGAGGCUCCAUUUGAGGGUAGCCUGGUAGGGAUCUAGGUAUUUACAUGAGUAGGAGCUUCAGUCAAAGGCAAAAUUUGUCUAAACAUUGAUAUUUCGAAUUAAUUAGUUUGUAUUAUGUUUUUGUCUUGAAUAGCUAAUGGUGAAUCCAGUAGCAGUACAGAAGGAUUGCUGUUAGUUUUUCUUCAAUUUCUUUUAUGUGUGCGUGCGCGUUUGUUUUUGUUUUUGUUUUAUUUUUCUUUUAAUAUAGAGGAGAGUAAUUAUACAGAAGCAGUGGCGAUGUUAUAUCAUUCUCACUGUUAUUUUUCACUCAUGCAAUCAUGCUAUUAUCAUGUCCAUUUUCAGGUUCAAAUUUCAAUGUUGUUAGUAAGGAAUUUACUCAUGUGGUAAUCAUACUAUUUCGGUCAUGUGAGCUUUCUUCUCUCAUUGACCUAGAAAACCGCGUAUUGGUAUUUGCAUACCAAAACAUGGUACUCUUUCGUACCAAUAUUCUAAAUUUAGCGUACCGAAAAAUUUCUUUGUUGUUUUACCUAAAAUUAUACAAAUAUCCAUAUUAUAACUUAGCAUUGGAUGGUCAAACAUUGCAUUUAGAUGAAAUUAUUUAUAAACCAAUUAACUUGUUGAUUCAACUAAAUAUUUUCUACAAAACAUAGGCUUAUUACAUUUAGAUUUUAAGAGAAUUUCUAAUUAUAAUAACUUACAUAAAGAUGCCCUAGCGUACCGCGUACCCACAUUCGUAUCACGUAACAAAAUGAAUGUUUCGGGUAACACUGCAUGUAACCUAAAAUUAACCAUUUCCUUUCUUAUGAUUGUUAUUUGGUGGUAUAUUUACGUCUGAUGCCUUCAAGAUCUUCAUGGGCAGUUCAGAUUACAAGGAUUUAAGGAGCCCAACCUUUUAAAUUAGCCCCAUUAUUCAGGAGUCUUAUUAAAUGACUAACUAGUUUAAAAUGUUUGAGCUUCUAAACUCUUUCUCAACUUAGGCAAGUCUGUACAUAUAGACAGGUGCAUAACUUCUGAUUUUACUUCUAUAUUAUCUGCAUGCAUAUUUAAGAUGACUAAGGAUGUCACAUUACUAAAAAUUGAACUCUAGAUGGAUUAGUUAUUGGGGUUCAGAUAUAUUUUUUUUCUUUUCAAAAAUCAUCAGAUAGAUUAACAUUCCCGUGCAAGUUUCAAACUCUAUCUUGACAUUUGCCCCUUUCCUAGUUAUAGUCUACUCAAUCUGAAGUUACUCGAAAUACUAAAAGUCUAAUAUUUGAAAAACGACAAGUAGUUUUACUCAAGAAAAUUUGAAAAUGUUGACGUGUUUUGGAGCUAAAAUCUGAUAGAAGUUUUUGAUAUCUUAUCGAUUUCACUCUUCUUUCAAUCUAAACAGUAGUUGUUCGGAGUCUUCUGACUAACUUUCCUGGCUCCUUUCUUUCUUUCUGGAUUUUGAAUAACAGAUGUGGAGGUUUAAAUUUCAGCGUGUCAUGCAGAAAGUCCUUUCCAUUAAUUUAUAUGUGGAUCCAGAAGGUCAUUUAAUAUUGAACUUCAUGGUAUGUUUUCUGUUCCUUUAAGUUGGGGUAUUUGCAAAUGAUUCAAACAUUUUAUUCGUAUGUGAAUCUACUGCAGGGAAGUGUAGAGCAAAAGCAUACUUGCUUUGAGAUGGUCCGCAUUUUAGGGACAAACAAGCAGGUAAUACAUCAUUCAUACAUUUCUUAUUAACUCUGUAGCUCGAUUUUAGCUUAUUUUCUCUUCCACUGAGAGUCUGAGAUAAGCAGUAUAAUUUAAAAUCUCUAUUUCUCUGAACAGAGUCAUACUUGGAAAGUAUUCUGGCUUGUUUCACUGUUUUGAUCUAUAGUAUUGACAUCUAGUGAUCUACACAUGACAUGAAAAAUGUCCAGGUCCGUGUACAAUCAUGAGAUCUAGUCAAUUAGUAUUUCCCCUUAAUUAAGUCAAUGGCAUGUAUAUAUUUUGUGUUUCCGUGUGGACAAAGUAGUUGAUAGGAGAUCUUAUAGGAAAAGCAACACAGUUUGAAUAAGUGUUCCCUGGAUUCCCAAUUAUUUUCAGUUUGUGGAACAAAUGCGAGAACUCGCAUAAGCUACACAGGAUAGGACGUGGUAUGCUAAAGAUAGCUUUAUAUGGAUGCUUAUAAUAAGAAAAUCACUUAAAAUCUAGAUGCAAUAAAGCUAAAUUUCAGAUAAGGUUUUUAGUUACAUCAACAAGUUUAUUGUUUUAGAAAUAAUUUAGUAAAAAUACGAUGUUGGAGCAUCCAAUACUUUUUGCAAUUAGAUAUGAAAACAAAGAAAUUGAUGGGUUGCAUCGAACUAAAUAUUGAUAUUUGUGCAAUUAGAUGUAGAAAACAAAGAAAUAUACCUAAAUUUAGAGUUCUGGAACAUAAAGAUGUUAGAGAAUAACAACGCAGCGGAAACAAUAGUAAAGAGAAAAUCGAAAGAAAAUAAUCACACAAGAAACAAAAUUUACGUGGUUCACUCCACGGUCGGCGGUUGAUCAGUUCACUAUCUUGUGGAAAUUUCGUACAUCUUACGAUUGUUAGAUCCUCUCCAUAUAUAAAUAUAAGAAACCCGAAUUCAACCUGGAAGUACAAAACUACUUUGGGAGUUUGGAUAAGUAGAUCUUCAAAAUGAGGAUAUAGGAAAUGGAAUACCACACAUGAAGAAAUCUCUACCUUCUCUAUUAAACCUACUCAGCAAAAUCAUUAUAUCAUCCCAAUUCCAUCAGUCUUCUCGGUGGAUCCACUGAGUGACGACGCUGAUCUGUUUGCUUAUGCAUGGAACAUAUAAGGAUGACUACCUCACCUUGUCCUUUGCUAAAAUUGGUCUUCUAGUAUAGCUAUCUGAAGUAGGAAAAAAAUUGUUAUAAUUAAUAAGGCUUAAUUUAAAUACAUAUCAAUCUUUUUAAAUUUCUUUGUCAGUCAGUGUCUUUCGAAAGCAACUUUCGAAAGCUACAUUGGACCAUCCAGAGUAAGAAAAUAUAUACAUAUGUAUGCCUUAGUACUGUUUCUAAAAUCCUUUGACUUUUCUUUUCUUUUUCUUUUUGUUAAACAUCAAGAGAAUAUGAAUAUGCCCCAGUAUUACUAAAAUAAGAUGGAGUACUCAAUUCAUUAAAUUGUCAUAGUAUUUAUUUUACUGAUUAAUUAAUUUACUCUUUGAUUUCUUUGUAACAACUCUAGUUGUUUUAUUUGUACUUCAGUUUGCUGUGUUCUUUGCCACGAAUAACUUCCUUUUCACCAAGUUCAACUUUUUAUUUCUUAUACUAUUCCUGUCGAUACUUGUGUAUAAUUAGAAAAUUCUAUAAUCCAUCAUUCAGAAAGCACUAGGAUGUAGCUCUUUGACAACCGAGUUAUCCUGAUCGAUUGUAGGCCUAGUCGGAAAGGAAAAACUAUGGCACUAUAGCUACACUCUUCUCGUAUACUUUCAAGUUUUACACAUUAGAUAUCCUUUUUUAAUUCAUACUAAUCAAAUAAAUAAAAAAAGAAAAUAAAAGAUGUUUGCUUGAUUCAUUCUAGUAGAAUAACAAAUCUUCAAAAAUUGUAGAAGUUAUCAAUAUUUCACUUGUGUGUAAUAUAUAUCUCUGGGAGCAAAUUAAACAAAUACAUGGAAAGAACAUUAAUAUCACACAUUCACACCUUUAAACUGCAAAAUUUUGUAUAUUUGAAGACAUAUCAUAUUUUUGAAGAAGCUAAUCAAUUGUGAAGUGGGUCUGGUCCACCUGGAACAGUCCGGUCUGACAUACCAUAAAUUGGUUCGACGCCAUCAUUUUUGGCUUCAAUGGGAACUGCUGCAGGAAAAUGCAUUGAGAACGGGGAACGGAAUUCUGGUUCUGGUUUAAAUUCCAUCUCUGUUCCUUCAAUUGUAACUCUCUUCAUAUCGCGGCAAUUUGAGAGCUGAGUGAAGGUGAGCAUGACCAUGAUGAACAGAAAUGGGACCCCGGGAUUUUGAGUACCCAUGAUUCUUAUGAUGAGAAAUAGCUGAAGAACUAGUGCCCAAUAGAUGAAGCAGGUAAAAUGGAGCUUGUUCUCUAAUGCAGGCUGUGAAGUCUUUUAUAUGCCUUUGGGUAACCUGUGGACUAUAUAAAAGCCAAGUAUAGAAAAACUUGGUCAUUAUGAAAUGACAAAAUUGCACUUUAAUUUCUCGAAAUAUUACCCUUUUAUGAUGGAAUUGUUGUUGUGCCUAAAAUGGCAAAUUCUUGUUUUCCUUGAAGCUUUAUCUGCUGAACGCUAAUUUUUGCAAUUAUAUUGAUGAUUGAUCAUCUGGGAUGCAGGUCAUGAUCAAGAUUCAUCCUAAUUCCUAACAAUCCAUAUUCCGGUGAGACUAGAAAUAUUAAAAGAAAAUUUUGAGAAGCUCGUCUUCGUUAUACAUUUGUAAGUUCAUAGCAAUUUGUUUUCAUGGUUAUGACAAUAUUGAUUCAUAUCAUGCAAGACAUUUUAAGGUUUAUAUGGUCAUUUUGUAUGUGUAGUGUGUUCAUGUGAAUAACUGUAUCGCAAAGCGUAUAGAAUCUAGAUCAUUGAUUUGCAUUUUGUUCAUUUGCCCAAUUUGAGUUUAAUUAAUUCACACACUACUCUUAUAUAUUACUAAAAUAUUUUUAUAGAUUUGACAUAAUAAAUUCAGUGACAUGUGCAGCCAAACUUGAUGAUCAAGUGUAGCACAUUAUCCUGCCGACUAGUUUAAUUAUUGUGGUUUAAAGUUUGUAUAUACUGACAUACUAUGCUUCUUAUUACAGAUGCUUAAGGUUGCACCUUGUUACUUCGAUAGUUCGAUUCAAUGUCAACUGUAAAGCUAAAAUUUGUCGAAAUUUUCAGCUGGAAAUUCACAGGUAAACGAAAAAAGUGAUGAAUUUGUUUGGUUAUGUGCCGCUGAACUUUUUGCUUCGGCCACACGGCCAGUGUAGUGUCUUGCUUCGACUUGUUUAUCGAGUUUUUCUUGGAAAUUGCUGCUGGUCUGAAUUAAUUUUGGCUAGAAGUCUACAUGUUGGGGGAAUUAUUUGCUACCUUGUCUGUAGAAUGGUGAUGUUUUCUAGUGUCUAGUGGUAAUAUAAUCUUGGAAGGUUUGAAUAAACAUGCGUGUUUAUUUGAGAGACCAUGAAGUGCCGUGUGCCAUCAUUCUGCUAGAAAUGGUGACAUUUUGGGAGACAUUCUUCAACUUUGUUAUCAUCCUUCAUUUGAAGAAAAUCUGUACCUCACUUCCUUGUAAGAAACUCAACAGCUUUUUUUUUUUUUUGCUCAAUAGGAAUAAGAAAAUAAGCAUUGCAUUCAAAAGGUGGAAUUAUGUGACAUUUUUUUCUUCUCUGUUCCAAAAUUAGAGAUAUAUUUUUCUUUUUUUGGCCGUUCAAAAAUUAAAAAAAAAUAUAUUUAUAUUUU